UGCAGACCAGGGCGGUGGUCUUGAGGUCUUGCAGCUGCUCAGUCCUCCACCCCAUCCUGAUCUGACCGCCUGUCUUCUUCCCUCCCACCGGGCCACAGUGGCUUUCCUGCUGGGCCAGGGACCCCUCAUCUCCUGACUUUGGCCCUGGCCCCUCUCGGUCUGCUCACGCGGCCACACGGGAUCCUAGCACCUAAGCCAGGCUCCCCACUGGCCCCAGUCCCUCCUUUCUCAGGCUUGUGGGAUCUUCCUGGGCAGCUGCCCUGGGCCUCUCAGACAUGCCUGCACACCACCCCUGCUUGCAGCCUCCUUCCCCAGAGACUCACACUGCUGCCUACGGGGCUUCACACCUACUGCUCCUGCCUGGACACGUCCCCCCAGAUGUCCACCUGGGUGCUUGGUAGGGGAGUGAAAGAUAUGUAGAUGAGUGGAUGAUGAAUGUGUGUGUGUGUGUGUGUAUGGGUGGUGGGGAUGUGUGGAAGGAUGUACGGGUGGACGGGUAGAUGGUUAGAUAGUGGUGAGUGGAUACCUGGAUGGAUGGAUGGAUGUUGGAUGGAUGGAUGGAUGGGUAAGUGGGUGAUGGAUGGGUAAAUAGAUGAAUAAAUGGGUGGGUAGCUGCAUGGGUGGAUUGGUGGGUGCCCCUUCCCUGCAUGCCAUCCAGGAAGUGUGGCCAAAUGGAAAGGCCCAGGUGGGUAUAUUUCUGCCUGGACCAUCCAGCCUGGCCCGAGGACAACUGGGCCCGGGUGUUGAGGGGCCAACAUACAGGUGCACAGCAGGACUGAGCAAGCGCCAGCUGCCAGCUGGAGCCCCUUUGGGCUGUGUUCCACUGGGCUCCUCCACUCUUCCUCUGGGGACUCGGCCCCUCGGGACCAUCUGUGGGCUACCCUAGUGGUCUCGUGGGCCCAGGCCUCAAGCCAAGCCCCUCUGUCACCCUGCUUGCUGUCCCUGAGGCACACUGCUUGUCCCUGUGUGGAUGUUGGCUGUCUGCCUCUGUCACACACCAGCUCUGCUGCCUGGGAGGGGUGGACCUGGCCCACACCCAGCGGCAGAGGCCGAGCCAGGCAGACUCAGGGCAGGCCUGCAGAGGUCGGCCCCUCAGCUUCGUCACCCUGCUCAUGUCUUUCUCCCACCGCCCCUCCCCCACUUCUAGAAGUUUCUACUUCAUACCUGCCAGAGACUGUAUUAGUUAUCCGUCACCACAUACUGGAUUACCCCCAAAU
rnacentral:lncRNA from 1 species